rnacentral:rRNA from 1 species
AGUGAACGCUGGCGGUAGGCCUAACACAUGCAAGUCGAACGGCAGCACAGGAGAGCUUGCUCUCUAGGUGGCGAGUGGCGGACGGGUGAGGAAUACAUCGGAAUCUGCCCAGUCGUGGGGGAUAACGUAGGGAAACUUACGCUAAUACCGCAUACGACCUUCGGGUGAAAGAGGGGGAUCGCAAGACCUCUCGCGAUUGGAUGAGCCGAUGUCGGAUUAGCUAGUUAGCGGGGUAAUGGCCCACCAAGGCGACGAUCCGUAGCUGGUCUGAGAGGAUGAUCAGCCACACUGGAACUGAGACACGGUCCAGACUCCUACGGGAGGCAGCAGUGGGGAAUAUUGGACAAUGGGCGCAAGCCUGAUCCAGCCAUACCGCGUGGGUGAAGGAGGCCUUCGGGUUGUAAAGCCCUUUUGUUGGGAAAGAAAUCUUUCAGGCUAAUACCCUGGGAGGAUGACGGUACCCAAAGAAUAAGCACCGGCUAACUUCGUG